AUGGCGGCGCGCAGGUGGAGCGCGUCGGGCCCCUGGAUCCGGGGAAACGGCCAGGGUUGCGGGAGUCUCUUCACUCUCGUCUCAAAGCCAUUUUGUUCCGCUGCCGCUGCCUCUACGGCCAUAAAUGCCCAGAGAUUAGCAGAGAAGCUCCGAGCCCAGAAACGGGAACAAGACACAAAGAAGGAGCCGGUGUCCACAAACGCUGUUCAGCGGAGAGUGCAAGAAAUAGUGCGGUUCACACGGCAGCUGCAGCGAGUCCACCCCAACGUGCUUGCUAAGGCACUGACCCGAGGAAUUCUCCACCAGGACAAGAACCUUGUGGUCAUCAAUAAGCCCUACGGUCUCCCUGUGCAUGGUGGCCCUGGGGUCCAGCUCUGCAUCACUGAUGUACUACCUAUCCUGGCAAAGAUGCUUCAUGGCCACAAGGCAGAGCCCUUGCAUCUGUGCCACCGGCUGGACAAGGAAACCACAGGUGUAAUGGUGUUGGCUUGGGACAAGGACAUGGCACAUCAAGUCCAAGAGUUGUUUAGAACCCGUCAGGUGGUGAAGAAGUACUGGGCCAUCACUGUGCAUGUCCCCAUGCCCUCAGCAGGAGUCGUGGACAUCCCCAUUGUGGAGAAGGAGGCGCAGGGCCAGCAGCAACACCACAAGAUGACAUUGUCCCCGAGCUACCGCAUGGAUGAUGGGAAAAUGGUGAAAGUGCGGCGCAGCCGGAAUGCGCAAGUUGCUGUAACUCAGUACCAGGUGCUCAGCAGCACUCUCUCCUCCGCCCUCGUGGAGCUCCAGCCCAUCACUGGAAUAAAACAUCAGCUUCGAGUUCACUUGUCUUUUGGAUUGGAUUGUCCAAUCCUUGGUGAUCACAAGUACUCAGACUGGAAUAGGUUGGCCCCCCAGAAGCUGUCUGUGGGCACCCUGAAGAAGCUGGGGCUAGAACAGUCGAAGGCCCGCUACAUCCCCCUUCACCUGCACGCCCGGCAGCUGAUCCUGCCUGCCCUGGGGUCCGGGAAGGAGGAACUCAACUUGGUCUGCAAACUUCCUCGCUUCUUUGUGCAUUCCCUGCACCGCCUGCGUUUAGAGAUGCCAAAUGAGGAUCAAAAUGAGAACAAUGAAGCCAAGUGUCUGGGAGCACAGUGAAGACCCUGGGAGCACCCUGGCACCUGGGAGCACAGUGAAGACCCUGAGAGCACCCUGGCACCUGGGAGCACAGUGAAGACCCUGGGAGCAUCCUGGCACCUGGGAGCACAGUGAAGACCCUGGGAGCACCCUGGCACCUGGGAGCACAGUGAAGACCCUGGGAGCACCCUGGCACCUGGGAGCGCAGCCUCCCCAGGCCCCUGCUGUAUAGAAAUGCUGAAGCCUCCACCACUCAGAGAUGGGCACCAGCGCUGCGCUGAGUCCAAGAGGAGCGAGGCAGGCCUCUCCUGUUGCAGGGGAGUGGGGUGUACGUGGGACCCUGGGGAAUGAUCCUAAGACAGGGUCUCCUCGUGUCACCCAGGCUGGAAUGCAGUGGCACAGUCAUGGUCCACUGCAGCCUCAACCUCCUGGGCUCAAGCUGCCCUGCCUCCUCAGCCUUCGAAGUAGCUGGGACUACAGGCGUGAGCCACUGUGCCUGGGCAGAGUUAACUCUGUGUGACGUUCUGUCUCCAUUGCCCUCUGUGGGUUCAGGAACACCGACUGCACAGCUGCAAUGUUCCAGUCGUUAGCUAGGCUCUUUCGUGUGGCCUGCUCCAUUUAAUCACCUCGGUAACCCCUUCAUAGAGGAGGAAACAGAGGCUAGGAGAGGUGAAAAGUCAGCCGGGGGCACACAGCAAUCGCUGCCUUUUCUCCUCCCCAGGACUCUGAAGGGAUCAGCACUGCUUUCCAAGUCCAAGUUGUGCUGCAGCAACUUCACAAAAUGCCACUUUUAUGCAUUUAUAAACACCAAGUUUAACAAACACGUGUUGAGUGCAUGCCAUACAUUAGGCACUAGGCAAGUCUGGAGUAUGGGUGGGCAUGUCCAGCAGGUCACCUGCCCAUCUCUGGACCACUCGAUCUCCAACCCAGCCUCUGUGUGCCGGCCAGGGCUGAGCGGGAGGGACCGGGUGUGGGGUUGCGUGCGGUGGGCUGGGGGUGAGGGUGGGGUAGGGGUGGAGGGGGACCGGGUUUAAUGAGGUGACUGCCACUUGUAAAUGAAACAGAAGGCGGAGCUGCUUGUGUGAACCUUGACCUCUCCUGUCCAGCGUGCCUUUCAUCGGGAGCUUUAUGAGCAGCCGCUGUGCUCCGGGACCCACCGCAGCCUGGGGGAAGGCAGGGCUGGUCCCAGAGUGGAGAGGAGGCCGCCUGGGGGAGGGGUGCAGGCCCGGCUUCCACAGAGCCCUGCGCCUCUGUCGUCCCUCCCAGGAGUUUUGGAAAAUAAAUGGGUGGGCUGGAUUUGAGAGGCGCUGCUUAGCACUGUGGAUUGCACACUUGGAGACCUCUGAGAAUGCACAUUUCCAGGCCCAUCCCUGCCGCUUCCGGUUCAGUCGGUUUGGUUUCGGGCUGGAAAAAUUGUAAUUCUAAAAAGCUCUCACAGUGAUUCUUAAAACCAGUCAAUUUUAGGAGCCACAGUCUUGCAACACAAGGUCAUGCCAACUCCAACACAAUCUUCAGCUGGGAUUUGAAACCCCAGUGCUCAGGGGUAAUCGUCACCCCGUUUACUGAGUGUCCCCACGUACUGGACACUGUUAUCUUGCAGCCGUUACCCAUCGGACCCUCCAAAUAAUUCUGCAAGGUGGAUGGGAUUGUCUACAAUUCACACAUGAGCCAGAGAUUAAAUAACUCAACCAAGGGGAUCACUUCUCCGCCUUUUGGCUAAGAUCAAGUGUAACUCAACCAAGGAGAAACAGAACUGAGAUUCGAAAAUGGUUCAUCUCACUCCAAAAGUGCUCUUGUCAAGCAGAUACUCUUUAUGAAGCUUACGUAAAGGUGGCCGUUCACAUGGAGAUCUCCAGAAACCCAGAAACUGCAGGAACCCAGAAAUCACUGUCUUAUUUUAUUCUAAGUGCAGCCCCUGGAGCCAGCUUUGGACAUCAUGAUUAAAGACAGCCCUGCAGGGCAGAGGCACCUGGAUGGCUUGUUCUCAAUUUCAUCCCCAGUGUCCAGCACAGGCCUGGUACAUAGGAAAUGCUUGGGACAUGCUUGUCAAAUGGGUAGUAAAUACUGACCAAAAGAACAAAAUAAAAGGGCCCUGGAUAC